rnacentral:lncRNA from 1 species
CAUGUAAGCCAAUGAUACCAAUUUUCUUGGUUUUCCUCUUACCUACCUGGUUGGACCUUUUUGUUCUCUUUUGUGGAUUCCUCCUCUUCUGCUCCUGAACAGUGAACCUAUCCCCAGAAUUUUUUCUUAGGCUCUUUUCAUUUCUUAUACUCCAUAAGUAACUGGGGUCAUCUUCAUUAAUUUCCUUGCCUGCAACCACCACCUCUACCUUCAGUGACUCUCAAAUCUAUAUCUCUAGUCCAGACCCCUCAUCUGAGAUCCAAACAUAUAUAUAUCUUAAUGCCUUUUGGGCUUUCAUUAAUAUACUGGGAAUGUAAUACCAGGGCGCUUUGCCACUGAGUUACAUCCACAUCCCUUUUAAAUUUUUGAGACAGGGUCUCACUAAGAUGCUGAGGGCCUUGUUAAAUUGCUGAGGCUAUACUUGAACUUGCAAUCCUCCUGUCUCACAUUCCUGAGUUGCUGGGAUGACAGGCGUGUGCCACUGUGCCCAGUUUCCAAUGCCUUUUGGACUUCUCUCCUUGGGUGUACCACAAGCACAAAAAUAAUAUGUUCUAAAUUGAGCUCAUAUCAUCCAAAAAGCUUCUUCUAUGUUGUUCAACCUGGCAAACGAUACCAACAUCCAUUCAUUCACCUAGCCAUUCAAUCAAUUUUGAAAAACAAAAUCCCUGAUGCCCCAUCCCCACUUCUUCCCUUCCUUAAUCCUUAUGUCCAACCUAUCACCAAUUCCUUCUGACCUAUCUCUAGUCUCUUUCAAAUCUACUCUCUAUCCCCUCAACUCCAAAGCACUCUCUUCUCUCUAAUUGCUUCCCUGCAGUAGCCUCCUACUUGGUCUCCCGAUUUUUUAAUUUCCCUUCUCUCCAUUCUCCACCAGAGUGGUCUUUCUGAACUGCAAUCUGCUCAUCUCCUCCCAUUGCUUAAAGUCACCAAUGGCUCCUUAUUGCUUUUAGGAGGAAAUCUAAAGUCCCUUACAUGACCUUCAGAAUCCUGCAAGAUCUGUACUUUGCCUACCUGUCUGGACUCAUCUUUUACUACUUCUCUCUCUCUCUCUCUCUCUCUCUCUCUCUCUCUGUACUGGGGAUUGACCCUACUUGUGCUUAACCACUGGACCACAACCCCAACCCUUUUUAUUUGUGAUUUAGAGACAGGGUCUUGCUAAAUUGCUUAGGGCCUCACUAAGUUACCGAAGAUGGCCUCAAACUUGCAAUCCUCCUGCCUCAGCCUCCUAAAUUGCUGGGAUUACAGGCAUGUACCACUGCACCUGGCUGUACACUCUCUCUUUUUUUUAAUAUCAUUUUUUUAGUUGUCUAUGGACCU